rnacentral:rRNA from 1 species
GUGUAGCGGUGAAAUGCGCAGAUAUCAGGAGGAAACACCGGUGGCGAAGGCGGUUCUCUGGGCAUUACCUGACGCUGAGGAGCGAAAGUGUGGGGAGCGAACAGGAUUAGAUACCCUGGUAGUCCACACCGUAAACGUUGGGCGCUAGGUGUGUGGUCCAUUCCACGGAUUCCGUGCCGCAGCUAACGCAUUAAGCGCCCCGCCUGGGGAGUACGGCCGCAAGGCUAAAACUCAAAGGAAUUGACGGGUGCCCGCACAAGCGGCGGAGCAUGCGGAUUAAUUCGAUGCAACGCGAAGAGCCUUACCUGGGUUUGACAUAUGCCGGAAAGCCUCAGAGAUGGGGCCCCUUUUAGUCGGUAUACAGGUGGUGCAUGGCUGUCGUCAGCUCGUGUCGUGAGAUGUUGGGUUAAGUCCCGCAACGAGCGCAACCCUCGUUCUAUGUUGCCAGCACGUAAUGGUGGGGACUCAUAGGAGACUGCCGGGGUCAACUCGGAGGAAGGUGGGGAUAACGUCAAGUCAUCAUGCCCCUUAUGUCCAGGGCUUCACGCAUGCUACAAUGGCCGGUACAAAGGGCUGCGAUGCUGUAAGGCGGAGCGAAUCCCAAAAAGCCGGUCUCAGUUCGGAUUGGGUCUGCAACUCGACCCCAUGAAGUCGGAGUCGCUAGUAAUCGCAGAUCAGCAACGCUGCGGUGAAUACGUUCCCGGGCCUUGUACACACCGCCCGUCACGUCACGAAAGUUGGCAACACCCGAAGCCGGUGGCCUAACCCCUUGUGGGAGGGAGCCGUCGAAGGUGGGGCUGGCGAUUGGGACGAAGUCGUAACAAGGUAACC